rnacentral:rRNA from 1 species
AUGAACGCUAGCGACAGGCUUAACACAUGCAAGUCGAGGGGUAACAGGGUAGCAAUACCGCUGACGACCGGCGCACGGGUGAGUAACGCGUAUGCAACCUGCCUAUAACUGGGGAAUAGCUCCCUGAAAGGGGGAAUUAACACCGCAUAACACUAUUGAUUCGCAUGGAUUAGUAGUUAAAUGUAGCGAUACAGGUUAUAGAUGGGCAUGCGUGACAUUAGCUAGUUGGUGAGGUAACGGCUCACCAAGGCUACGAUGUCUAGGGGUUCUGAGAGGAAGGUCCCCCCACACUGGUACUGAGACACGGACCAGACUCCUACGGGAGGCAGCAGUGAGGAAUAUUGGUCAAUGGGCGCAAGCCUGAACCAGCCAUGUCGCGUGCAGGAAGAACCUGCCCUAUGGGUUGUAAACUGCUUUUAUAGUAGAAGAAACACAUCUACGUGUAGAUGUCUGCCAGUAUACUAUGAAUAAGCAUCGGCUAACUCCGUGCCAGCCGCGGC